UCCCCCCUCCCCUCUCCCUCGCCUUCCUCGCAGCCGCGCCGGCAGCCGCUCCCUGCGCCGGGUCCCUCCGAUCGAUGCCUCCGCUCCGUGCCGAGGAGGAGUGCGCGCACCGCGGCGGCUCUUGAUUUCGGGCAGAUAAACUUUCAAGUUUGGGAGCGAUGCGGGUCACACGGCAGCUCCUCCUACUCUCCUCCUCCUCCUCCUCCUCCUCCUCCUCCUCCUCCCGUGCCGCGCUGCCGGGGCUGCCGCCGGGGCUGCCCCCAGCUCCGCAGCCCGACCAGCUCCCGCCGCCUCCGAGCCUCCCUCUCCGCGCGCACUUUCCCAGCAGCAGCUUUUCUCCCAGACCCCCCCUCCCCCUUUUUUUUUAAGAGGGGGGGAAGGGGAGGGAAGUCUUCCCCUCCCGCUUUCCCCUCUCUCGCGUUGCAAGUUGCUCGGGAGCCGAGCCGAGCCGAGCCGCCCCCGUCCCGCCCCCGGCGCGCCGGGCCGCGGGACAGAGCCGCGGAGCCGCCCCGGCUCCGUCCGCAAGUUGCUGCUGCUGCUGCUGCUGCUGCUGCUGCUGCCCGCGGCGGCCGCUGCCCGCCCGCGCCGGGGGGCGCCCGGGGGGGCCGCCGGGCCGGCUCCCAUGGCAGGGAGCCGCCGCUAGGAUGUACCCGGCCGUCGCCGAUCACCGCGCCGCGCCGCGCCCGGCCCCGCGUGUGUGCGUGUGUGUGUGCGUGUGUGUGUGUAUGCGGGGGGGGCUCCCCCCGGCUCCCCCCGCGCCGCUUUCCCCUUUUCUUUGCUGUCAUCGCCGCGGGCUGCGCGCCCCGCGCCCCUUUGUGCCCGCGGGGCUCCGCCGCUGCCCCCCGGGGCUGGGCCGGGGCCCCCCUCGCCGGCGCCGCGGGCCAUGGGGCUGGGGGCAGCGGCGAGGAUCAGCGAAAGGGAUUUCCUCCUCAUCCCCCCCGCCCCCCCACCCCGUGUAAUCCAGCCCGAGUCCUUAAAACACACCAACCUCGGCUUCUUUGGGAGGCUCCUCUGUGUAAACUUUCCCCGCUGAGAGCUCGCUCUAUCUCGUGCGCUGUGAUACCGCGUCUCUGGGCUUUCGGUUUAUUCCCCACUUCUGUGUUUGCAGGCAAACCAAAUAAAAUUAAAGACGACAGUUUAGGCCACUCCAGAUAG
rnacentral:lncRNA from 1 species